CAAGCGAGAGAUAAUGGAAGCUCUGAUAGCCUCAUAUGGAGACGCAUCAUCGGAUUCGGACUCGGAUACUGCUAUUGCCACAAGAGCAACCGCCGAAUCUGUCCCAAUUCCAAGUACUCAAGCGGAUGUGGUAGUUUUGCCACCUCCUCCUGUAUCACUUCUCACCCCUCCCAAUUCUACUGGUCUCAUGGAUUACUUGCAAGCUGGACAGCCA
rnacentral:misc_RNA from 1 species